UUAGGUGAAACUUACAAUGUGUUCAGUUUUGGGCUCCCACUUCAAAAGAGACACUGAAAUAUUGGAGAUGUGCCAGUGAAGGACCACAAGUUGAUUAGAGGGUUGGAGCACUUGAUGCCUGUUGAAAAGUCUAUGUAAAUCAGUUUCCUCAAGUUAAAGAACAGAAGGGCCAGCGGGGAGUCUAAUCACAUUCUCUCAAUACCUAAAAGGUAGUUAUAGAGAAGAUGGAGGUACUUUUUUCUCAAGGACACAGUGGCAGGACAAGAAGAGAGGGGCAUCAGUUGCUUCAAAAGUAAAUUUAAUCAGUCUAUAUGAAAAAAGUUCUUCACUGUGAGGACAACAAAACAUUGGAACAGGUUGUCCAGAGAAGUGGUGGAAUGUCCCUUGCUGGAAGUAUUUCAGUACUUGUCUUGUUGGGCCAGUGGAUAACCUAAUCCAAAUCCCUGCUGUCAACUGUAUGCGGGUUUAGAUGCUCUCCAGAGGUCCCUUCCAGUCUUGGCUUUUCCCUGUUUCUACACGGGAGGGCAGCAGGCACAAUGAAAUUUCUGAAACAGCCACCAGAGCGGGCAAGAAGCAGCAGACUAGCACUCUUCAGCAACGAAAAAGAAAUGACCGAGGGCAGAAAGGGGAAAGACAGAGGUUUACAGCAUCGGGAAAGACCCAGAGAAGAUUUGUUUCAAAGUGUCACUUGGUGCAGUAUUCUGUUUGGGAAAAGAAAAUAUUGGAAUCACAGUUUCUGGUGAAAUGAAAAUUACAAUUUCCAGAGUUCCAGAAAGGAAUAACUGCUGUGAAGGCAUUGUCGUGGACUGUUAGUGCCAGUCAUUUAUGUUGGAGAAUGGAACUCUUUCUUAGAUGGCAGAAUUUAAUACGGAAACCUUCAUCCGAAAACAAACUGUAAGCAGUCUAAAUGCCAAUUCAACAUCAAGCUUGAAAUGAAGAUUCCUCUUUCUUUUUUGCCAGGCUCUCUAUGUCUUCCAUAUACAGUACAAAAGACGCCAGCAGUCACUGCGCAGUCGGAUCGUGUUCGGUAUCUGUCCCACCCAGGCCCCUCAUCCACUAUGUCAAGAACAGUUAAAAAAGCACAGCCUGGAAAUCCACCUCUCUAAGCUCUAGUGCUACCAUUUUAUUUUCUUGUUUGAGACUCAUUACUUCAUGUACUGUCUUUAACUCCUGUCGUGGUUUAACCUGAGCUGGCAAUACAACCACGAUAACCACUCACUCAUCCCCUCCCCCACUCUCCCAAUAGGGGAGAGAAUCAAAAGGGAAGGGAGAAACUUGGACUGAGAUAAACACAGUUUAAUAAAAUAACAAAAUAGUAAUACACUACUAGUAAAUAUACAUAUAAAACAAAAAUAAAAGGUACUCAAAGCAAUUCCUCAUGAACUCCGUCCACAACUGAGCAGCCAGUCCCAGCAAGCAGCACAGUCCCAGCAGCUGAUCCCAAAGAGAGAAAAGAGAGGAAAAAAAGCAGAAAAGCCCAGAGGCUUAGGCAAAAUGGCAACAGGCUACAAGUCCUGACUGAAACUUCCCAGCUACCCCCCAGAGAGAGAGAGAGAGAGAAGAACCAGAGAGACUGGAAGAGCCAAAACCCGAAGGUCCCACUCUUAAAUAAUUAGCAUGACACUAAUGGGAUGGAAUACUCUCAUUGAUCAGUCUGGAUGUCAGUCAAGCCUUGCCCCAUCCAUGCCCCGCUUCCUCGACACCUGUAAGCAGGGCACUCAGAAUGUCCUUGGCUCUCAGACCAGAGCAAUUAAAAACAUUAACUCUGUGCUGGGGUGUUAUCUUUUGUUUCUCAGACUAAAUCCAAAUAGCGAGCAUGCUAGCUAUGAAAAAGAAAGGUUUCAAACUGCACGAAGAAAAUUAACCCAUUUUCAGUCAAACCAGCACAGCUCUUCAUAUAUAAAGGGCAACAAAACUCUCUGCUUCAUAUUUUGGGGCAAGUAUGUGCUUGCUGAAUAGGUCCGGGAGUGCUCAUCAGCUGCACUGGUGGUGUUUCUGAACCACAACAGCAAGAGAACAAGUGCUCCUCUGGCUGCUGCUUCUCUGAGGCUCUUCAUAGAUGCAGGAGAAAGAACUAGAUUUUGCUUCAUAACACCCUGUAGCUGUAAACAAGUAGAAACACCAAUUUGGAAUUCUACAAAACAUGUGACUCAGCCCAGCCCAUACCUCUGAUAUGUAGGGCAGGGAGAAUCAGGGACAUCCUGCAGUGUUCUUUUGAUCUAAAUGCCAGAAGUGAUGUAUAAGUAACCACACAAUAAACGUUUUUCACAAACUAUUCCAUAAAUAUUAUUUGUAAAGAAAUUAACAGACAAUACUAUUUAGGAAUGUUACUUCUGAUGCUACUUAGGUAUUGUGAGAAAUGUAGUUGGACAGUUUUGAUGUGAGAUCUGUUAUUGAUUAAAUACACAGGCAUUUAUACUAAUUUCAAAAUACAUAGACACUUCUACAACUGUAUAUAUUAAAAGUGAUUUUCUAUAUCCUCCAUGGAUUACUGAUAACUAUGCAAAUAAGAUACAUUAUUGUAAUGUUUUUGUUGUCUUUUGAUUGCAAUCAAUUGUUUCUCUUUUUCAUUGUCUGCUGGAGCAGCACACACUAAACUUAAUAAUUGUUUCCAUCCAGUAACAGGCAACAGCAACAGUAGGAAGAUUUAAUUUGUGCUGUCAGAGCAACACUGCACCAAAGACCCCUCCAUACAUUUUUGAAGCAGGCUAAUGAAUGCUACGCAGCUGAGACUAAGAACAGCUCUCCACAUAACACUUCUUCAAUGAGUUAUUUUAAUUUAGUAAGAAAUACUUUAGGUUUUAAGGACGUAACUUAUACUUUGAAUAAUUUGUUUACAUUUACUAAUGGGAAUGUUUCCAUUGACAUACAGAAGACUAUCUGGGAAAGAAAGCAAUUCAUUGAGCAAAAAGACUUACACAACUUCCCUCGAACCCAUGAUUUAUCUAUUUCUCCUUGGUAACUAAGUGAAGAAAGAUCUAAGAGACAUAAUAAAAAAGCAAUUGCAUCGUGUCAUCCAUGAAGAUAAUAGUGUGUAAUGAAGUGUCAAGGAUUUCUGCAAGUGCCCAACCUAACCACCAUAGAGGAAGAAGUAGUCCAUGGGAAAUGCAUGGCCAAACCCAGUUAAUCUAGUCCAGCUUCACACAGUUCUCUUCUGCAUGACUGAGUCUCCAGCUUUGCAAGUACCACAGGAGGAAUUAAUGAAUCAUCUACUGUAAGGCUUCAUCUACCGUUCCUUUGUCCUCUGAUGCUAUUUCAUGCUGCUUAGAGACAGGGGAAAUAUUUCCUUCUUGGAGCAUUAUUUUUAAAGUGUUUAUGGUCUAACAGUAUGUUUUGGCUAAUUGGUUCAAGAGGAAAACAAAAGGUUUCCAUUUUUAAUAUUGUAUCUUGAAUUAUUAUUCUUCAACUAUAAUGAGUCGGGUUUGUUUUUUUUUUCCCUAACUCCCUGUUUCUACUCAUCACUUCUAUAACCGACUGCUUUGUUUUGUUUUCAUUUUGACAGCUGCUGUGUCUAUGGAACUGUAUGUGUAUGCAUUCAUAUAUAAAAAUAAAUACUGUUCUUCA